rnacentral:rRNA from 1 species
UACAGAGGGGGCAAGCGUUGUUCGGAAUUACUGGGCGUAAGGGCCCGUAGGCGGCCCGGUUAGUUGAACGUGAAAUCCCCGAGCUCAACUCGGGAACUGCGUCCGAUACUGGUGGGCUUGAAUCCGGGAGAGGGAUGCGGAAUUCCAGGUGUAGCGGUGAAAUGCGUAGAUAUCUGGAGGAACACCGGUGGCGAAGGCGGCAUCCUGGACCGGCAUUGACGCUGAGGCGCGAAAGCGUGGGGAGCAAACAGG